AUUGAACGCUGGCGGCAGGCCUAACACAUGCAAGUCGAGCGGAUGAAGGGAGCUUGCUCCUGGAUUCAGCGGCGGACGGGUGAGUAAUGCCUAGGAAUCUGCCUGGUAGUGGGGGAUAACGUCCGGAAACGGGCGCUAAUACCGCAUACGUCCUGAGGGAGAAAGUGGGGGAUCUUCGGACCUCACGCUAUCAGAUGAGCCUAGGUCGGAUUAGCUAGUUGGUUGGGUAAAGGCCUACCAAGGCGACGAUCCGUAACUGGUCUGAGAGGAUGAUCAGUCACACUGGAACUGAGACACGGUCCAGACUCCUACGGGAGGCAGCAGUGGGGAAUAUUGGACAGUGGGCGAAAGCCUGAUCCAGCCAUGCCGCGUGUGUGAAGAAGGUCUUCGGAUUGUAAAGCACUUUAAGUUGGGAGGAAGGGCAGUAAGUUAAUACCUUGCUGUUUUGACGUUACCAACAGAAUAAGCACCGGCUAACUUCGUG
rnacentral:rRNA from 1 species